rnacentral:rRNA from 1 species
AUUGAACGCUGGCGGCAUGCCUUACACAUGCAAGUCGAACGGUAACAGGUCUUCGGAUGCUGACGAGUGGCGAACGGGUGAGUAAUACAUCGGAACGUGCCUAGUAGUGGGGGAUAACUACUCGAAAGAGUGGCUAAUACCGCAUGAGAUCUACGGAUGAAAGCAGGGGAUCGCAAGACCUUGUGCUACUAGAGCGGCCGAUGGCAGAUUAGGUAGUUGGUGGGAUAAAAGCUUACCAAGCCGACGAUCUGUAGCUGGUCUGAGAGGACGAUCAGCCACACUGGGACUGAGACACGGCCCAGACUCCUACGGGAGGCAGCAGUGGGGAAUUUUGGACAAUGGGCGCAAGCCUGAUCCAGCAAUGCCGCGUGCAGGAUGAAGGCCUUCGGGUUGUAAACUGCUUUUGUACGGAGCGAAAAGGCUCUCUCUAAUACAGGGGGCUCAUGACGGUACCGUAAGAAUAAGCACCGGCUAACUACGUGCCAGCCGCCGCCGUAAAAC